rnacentral:tRNA from 1 species
GCCUUCAUAGUGGAGUGAUUACCACGCUCGACCCGUAACCGAGAGGUCCGAGGUUCGAUUCCCGGCGAAGGCG